UGUCUUUUAGUAUAUUCACAGAGUUGUGCAACUAUCACCAUCAUCACUUCUAGAAUAUUUUUAUCACCACACAAAGAAAUUCCAUACUCAUUAGCAGUCACUUACUGUCUUCC